GAUGAAGAACGUAGCGAAAUGCGAUAAGUAAUGUGAAUUGCAGAAUUCAGUGAAUCAUCGAAUCUUUGAACGCACAUUGCGCCCGCCAGUAUUCUGGCGGGCAUGCCUGUUCGAGCGUCAUUUCAACCAUCAAGCCCCCGGCUUGUGUUGGGGACCUGCGGCUGCCGCAGGCCCUGAAAACCAGUGGCGGGCUCGCUAGUCACUCCGAGCGUAGUAAUACAUCUCGCUCAGGGCGUGCUGCGGGUUCCGGCCGUUAAAAAGCCUUAUUUACCCAAGGUUGACCUCGGAUCAGGUAGGACUACCCGCUGAACUUAAGCAUAUCAAUAAGCGGAGGA
rnacentral:misc_RNA from 1 species